CGUGUGCCCAGGCGUCCACCGCCUUCCGGCCCCCGGGAUCCUUCUCUCCACAGCCCUGGUCACACCAAGAAUGUCCACGGGGCUCGGCUGUCCGGUUCUCUGGUGAAGAGCCCUCCCAAGUCCAGAGCAGCGUGGGCCACAGUACGGGGACAUCUGCGGGCAGGAUCCGCCCUGAGCUGCAAGCCUUUCACUCACAUGUCUCGCUUCAUCUCAUCCCAAGAAAAGUUCCUUCUUCCCUAUUUCAUGCCCCGCUGGCUCUGCCAUCCCAGGCCUGGCAGGCUCUCUGCGUGGGUUGUCCCAGGAUCAGAGGAAGUGCCGCUGCCUCUCAAACGCCUAGUUUGUCCCUCCUGCGAUUCCGGCCACCCAGCUACUCUCCCUGGAGUAGACUGGGCCCACAGGUGGGACCAGGCCCGUGGCAGAACAUGAAAGACUCCGGAUGCCUGUUGGCCAAGUCCCCAGCGGAGCCAGGUAAAAGGGCUCCCUCUUAUUCCAGGAGCUGGGCAGGCCUAGACUUGCUGCACGAUGUGGAGGAGUCACUCUCUGGCCUGGCUGUUGCCCAGCUGCUGCAGGGAGGCCAUGUACCACUGCCCCUGAGGAUCUCUCCUGAGCAGGACUGAAGGCCCUAUUAGGCUGUUGGUCCAGGGUCUGUGGUGGGUGGGUGGCGUGAGUGAGGCCUGGCUGGUGAGGCUGCAGAGAAAUAUUCUAGGCAAGCUUCCCAGGAAAGCCCUGGUACUCACUGUAUGACAUGUGAAGUGGAUUGUAUCUUUCCAGCCAGGUGAUCUGGACUGGGAUGUUGAAUGGGUAGGUGGGGAGGGGCUGAAUGACCAGCACUCUGGGCCAGUGUAGACAAAGAUCCCACACCCAGGCCCUUACCCUGCCUCCCCUUCUCCCUGUGGAAUCCUGUUCUCAGGAUGGUUCUGAUAACCCUCAGUUGGCCGUAGGGAUCAGGCCAAUGGGCACCUUCUUUUCAGGGUGCCCUCUGCUGUCAUCAGUUCCUGGGUCCAGAUGAAGCACAGGCUCUAGGGUGCUCUAGGGGCACAGUGAGAGGUGUGGACAUGUGCAGAUUAACUGUAGGAAGUCCUGGGCUGGGCAUUUGACCUGUUUGCCCAGAACUGUCAUGUCCUGACCCAUAACUGGUUGGCAGGAGGGCAUAGUGACUAAUAGUCUGCCAAAUCCAAGUUCAAAUCUGGGUUUGAUUGUUGCUUACAGUGUGACUUGGCAAGGUAUGGUCACUUUUAGCUUCACUUUUUCCACCAGUAAAGUGGAAUGACAAUAUCUCUAACAGCACAUGGUUGGGGUAAAGAUUGAUAGACUAUGUAAUAAUAACCAUAAUAGCAAACACUGAGUAGUGCUAAGGGGCUCUUUCUUCCAAGUACAUUGCAUUAAUUAACUCAUUUAAUCUUCACUAUAAGCAUAUGAGGUCUGUCCUUUUAUUAAGCCCAUUUUUGUAGAUAGAGUCAUAGCCCUUGCUCUUAAAGAAUUUCCAGUCCAGUGGGGAGACAGAGAAGUGAGCAAAAAUCCUUUGAGCCAAAUCAGUCUGUUUGAUGAGAUGAGAAUUCAGGCCAUAAAUCUUCAAGCUCUAAUUGGGUCUUCACAAUCUCCCCCAGUGAGCCCACAUUACAGGCAAGGAAUUGGGGGCUCAGAGAGGCUAGGAUACACACCCAAAGGCACACAGCCAGAAGGACGGAAGCGGCAUUGUCUGAUUCUGGUGCACACGCUCUUCCCCAAAAUAAACAAAGUAUAAUUUAGAACAAAAUGCUUGCCAUGUGAUGGCAGUUUCCUGAACAGUCCCCUAGUGCCUCCUUAUAGAGGAUUGCAGGCCCCAAGUGCCUAUGUAGUUCCUGUACAGAUACUGGGCCGACCCUGCCUUUCCAUCCCACUGCUCUGCUUCUGGAUUCACAGUGUUACUUCUGCCUGAUGCCCGCCACCUGCUGUGGCUGUGGCCCAGACAGCCCUGAGCAGACAGCUGCUGCCCCCUCGGCUCUUCUCUUUGGGGAUUGAGGAGGAUUUGGCUGUCGACCUCCCGGUUCCUCUUGUCCUCCCACACGUGGUUGUACUCCACGGAUCUCAGACCAUCCACUGCUCUUGCCCGCAGCGUGGAACAUCACACAUCAGGACCUUGAUUACUUGUUCAGCCCACCAGAGGUAGUAGCUCCUGAUUCUCUACUUUGGAGGUGAGGACGAUAGUCCUCCCUUCUCUCCUCUGCUUCCCACGUCCCAGCCACUGUAAGCUGAACUUUUGACAUAAAGUCAUUUACAUUUACCUUCUAGGCUGUACCCAUAGACAAAUCUAUGAUUUGUCUAAAAGUUAAUCCUUUUAAACACAACCACCACAACUGAAAAAGCACCCUUUGACCAUGUUAAUACUGUUCACGGCAGAGCCACGUGGUGCGCUAGGAUACAACGUGACUGUGACAACCAGCUCUUGUCAUCUUACGGAGGGGAAACAGACCACAGCGAGUCGGCGCCUUGCUGAAGGUCUGUAUGAUGCACAUACCGCAUGGUUCCAACUAUCAGACAAUCUGGAAAAGGCAAAUUCUGUGCCAUACUAUAAUGGUGGAUACACGUCAUUGUACACUGUCCAAACCCAAAAUGUACAACACUAAAAGUGAACUCUAAUGUCAACACGGACUUGGGGUGAUAGUUGUGCAUCAACAGAGGCUGCCAGGUGUGACAAAUGUACCACUGGGUGUGAGAUGUAGGUAGUGGGGGAGGAUGUGUGCUGGGGACACAGUGGGCGCACAGGAACUCUCAGUGUUUCCACUCAGUUUUGCU